GUUCACAUUGUGGUAAGCUUUUGGGAUUUGGCUUAAUCCUUCACAUUAAGUGUUCUAAUAGCCUCUAAUGAGCUUUGUUAGCAUGUUGCUACAUUUAAUUUAGAUUAUUUUGAGGUUAAUGUGUCAUGCCCCGCGACCGCCCGCCUAUUUGGCCGGGUCGCGGCGCCGCCAACAGAUCGCCGAACGGACAGGGUUUCCCCUGUACUGCGGACAGAGUCUCCCCUGUACGUUCAAGGCAUAGCAAUCAAUACAAUGUACGAAGUUCCAACCAGGAACACAUUUCAAUCAAGAUUGCAUAAUGGAAGGUAUCAAACAACAUAACACAUCCUAUGUUAUUACAUGCAUUCACAUUCAUACAUUUUACAUCCCAAAUACUUAUUACAUUUAACUUCCAAAUACAAUCCGAUUUAACAUGAUUAUUACAAUCUUAUUCCUUUCAUUUUCUUACAUC
rnacentral:lncRNA from 1 species